rnacentral:rRNA from 1 species
UACGGGAGGCAGCAGGGGAAGUAUUGGACAAUGGGCGAAAGACCUGAUCCAGCCAUGCCGCAUGAGUGAAGAAGGCCUUCGGGUUGUAAAGCUCUUUUAGUGAGAAAGAUAAUGACGGUACUCACAGAAGAAGUCCUGGCUAACUCCGUGCCAGCAGCCGCGGUAAUACGGAGAGGGCUAGCGUUAUUCGGAAUUAUUGGGCGUAAAGAGCGCGUAGGCUGAUUAGUAAGUUAAAAGUGAAAUCCCAAAGCUUAACUUUGGAAUUGCUUUUUAAAACUGCUAGUCUAGAGAUUUGAAAGAGGAUAGAGGAAUUCCUAGUGUAGAGGUGAAAUUCGUAAAUAUUAGGAGGAACACCAGUGGCGAAGGCGUCUAUCUGGUUCAAAUCUGACGCUGAGGCGCGAAGGGCUGGGGGA